CGGGGAGGCAAGGGGUAGCUACUUCAGGCGCAGGGGAGCAGGCCCUCGGAGUCGGGAGGGCCAGCGAGCUGAGAGCAGGCGCAGGGGAGCGGCGGCGGGCGGCUCGCGGUGCGGGAUCCCCGCCCGCUCCAGCCCCUCCGCCGCGCGCUCCCGCGCUCCGCUGCUCCCGCCGCGCCCGCUCCUUAGUAUUCCCCCCACGGAGCCGAGCGCCGCGCUGCAGUGGCUGGUCCGGGGGAGGGGCGCCCCGUCAGGCUCUGUCCUCCGCGUCCCCCAGGGUCGGGAGGUGGGUGGGCACCGAGCUCCUCCGCGGAACCCUCAUUCCCUGGCUGGGGACUGCCGAGGGUGGGGGGUGACGGGGACGGUGCGCUCCCCUCCCGCCCCCCCGGCCCCCCCCCCCAGGUCGCCUUGGACCCAGGCGCCAGAGCUGUCAACAGCGCGAGGUGUCUCGGGCGACCAGGGGAGGGGACGCGGUGCGGAGUGGCGUCCUGCACACCCCGCGCCGCAUUCUCGGACUGAGGGUACAGAUAAAGGGGAGGGGCCCUCCAAGCGCCUGCUCAAGUGUCCACUUCCUGCUCCUGAGGCUCCGAGGUGAGGAAGGGCCCGUGGCUCAUGUCUCCUGGACUGACUCCCUCAGCGCCCUACCCGUCACUUUAAUAGUCUUAGCGGGAGCCUGGGAUGGGGGCUCCACCCGGAGAGGAAAGGCCUUGUGAGAACACAGUGAGGAGACAGCCAUCUGAAACCCAAAAAGAGCUUUCACCAUGCCUGGACCCUGCCAGCAACUUGACCUCUUGGACUUCUAGUCUCCAGAACUGUGAGAAAUAAAUUUCAAUUAUUCAAGCCAA